CGGGGCCCCGCGGGUCACGUGGGGGCGGCGGCGGCGCGAGCGGAGCGCGGGAGCGGAGGAGCCAUCGGCCAAUGAGAGCGGCCUGGGCGGCGCUGUCGCUGCUGCUGCUGCCGGGGCUGGGCCGGAGAGCGACGGGGACGGUGACAGCGACGGUGACAACGGCCACCA